rnacentral:lncRNA from 1 species
UCAUCUCGUCUGUUUGAUGAUCUUCUUCCUCACCUUCAUAAAACAUGCCACCCUUGAAGAUGCUCUUUGACCACAAUGAUUCUUGGCUUCACUAGACGCUUGCUUGAGCUUGAUCAUAGGGUGUUUUCAUAGAUUGCAACAUCAGCUCUACCAUAUUGGUGUGUUCACGAAACCUCCACCCAAAUGGACUGAGGGGAGUGCAUCUCAUGUGACACCAUGUUGACGGUUUCAUGGCGCCGCCAUAUAUCUCUAUGACACCAUUGAUCUUCACUCGAAUCUUUAGAGCUCUCUGGGGUUGAGGCGCAGUUCCCUCUCUGUAUAUGGAUGUCUAGCGUUGAUGAAACGAAUUAAUCAAUACAUGACCAUUGUAGACUCAUGCCUCAUGAUGAUCUCGCACCACUGCCAUCAUUAUCCUAGAGGAGUGGUAACAUCCAAAUUAGACUGUGAGAACCAUAAUAGCUUAAUUAGGAUGUAAUAUACGUAAUCAUAAUCUGAAGAUUAGUUUGUUAGUGUAGAAGUCCCCGCAUACCAUCAUUGUCUGUGCUACACCAUUGAUGUCUUUUUGUUGUAUAUUUCAUGAUUCCUCCAACUCCUACGUUAUCUGCAAUAUGUGUGUGUUGUUUGUAAAUUCAGCCAAAUAAACUACUAGGUGAUUCACAUAUAUGUUGCCGGACAUCAGGU